CACUAUGCCUGGCCCUAAAAAUUGAUAGUUUAUUACAUCCACUAUCCGCCCGGGAACUACGAGCAAAACUUGAAACCCAAAGGACUUGGCGGUGCUUUAGACCCAACUAGAGGAGCCUGUCCUAGAACCGAUAAUCCCCGUUCAACCUUACCUUUUCUUGCAACUUCCGCCUAUAUACCGCCGUCGUAAGCUUACCCUGUGAAGGUGCCCAUAGUGAGCAAAGAUAGUAUCACCCCAUACGUCAGGUCGAGGUGUAGCUUAUGUAAAGGAAAGAGAUGGGCUACAUUUACUAUUAGUAGUAAAUUACGAAUGAUGCCCUGAAACCCCGCAUCUGAAGGUGGAUUUAGUAGUAAGUAAAAAACAGUGUGUUUUACUGAAACUUGGCUCUGAAGCGUGCACACACCGCCCGUCACUCUCCCCAUAAAAACUUUUUGACUUAAACUAUAAAACCUAAAACACUAAGGGGAGACAAGUCGUAA
rnacentral:rRNA from 1 species